CUGUACUAACUGACAAUACCUUAAGUAAAAAUCUGAGUUGUAUUGGUUUGUCUGUGAUAUUUUGAUUGCUUGUAUGCUCUACAAAUAGCUGUUGCAACUGAAGCAAGAUAACCUACCAUGGCUUUCUAGGUGCAUACUGUUACCUUCUGUUCUGCUUUAUCUUAUCCUGGACUUCAGCUGGAAAUUUCCAUGUGCUCAUUCUACUUUCUUCUGACAAUAUCAGAUAAGUUAUUUCAAAUAAUUUAUUUAACAAUGUGAAGGCUAAUAUUGCUUGAAGAAAGCUAGGAAGGAUUUUGCCCACUUUAGAGCCGAAGAACUGGUAAAGGAGUGGUGUUACGGGAAAGCCUUAAUGCUGUUCUGCUAAUGACACCCACCUUUCAUAAAGCAAAUUAAUUUUCUCUUUACCAGCAGUAGACUGACUGUCCAUUGCUACAUCAUGCCAUUUUGAAAAACUGUAGGUGUAGCAAUCUGCAGUGGCAGUGUGAGGAUGGAAAACUGGGGACCAUUUGCCACUUGCUGCCAAGAGGUAUAUCUGUCCUCUCUCCUGUCUCUCUAAUGCUGUGGAUUGACAGCACCAGCCAUGCCUGCCUACACCAGUUGAAGAACUUACUGCUUUUCUUCUGAAUACAGCUAGACUGUAGAUCUGCUUCUUCAGCCUCUUUGGAGAUAGAAGACAUGAUCAUGUCUCUGAAUCACAGACUACUGGAGGCUGUGAGAAUGCACAGAACUUAUAUAUUCUAUGCUUGCCCUGUUUGUAUGCUCUGCCCUAUUCACCUGCUAAUCAUCACUGUUGGGAACUGAAUACUAAAAUUCUAAAGAGGAUAAAGAGGUCUUGAGUUUUACCUGUUAUGGUUGUUCUUACUGUUUAUUUCUAUAUGGCUCCAGGAAGACAGCAGCUACUCUGUGACUUUGCAGCUUGUCAUUCAGUAGGGAGAUACUUUUCACUUUUCUGGCCAUGUGCAGUCAAGAAGAGGGAGAAGCUAAAGAAAUAUGUAAAAGUGUGAAAAAAAGUAUUUGGCCUUUCCACAUAAACAUGCAAGAGAGAAAGGAAAGACAAUGAAAGCAGGGAAUACAAUGAAAAGGUAGGGUAGAUGGCUUUUCACUGAUAGAGAAAGAGCAAAAGAGCAAAGAAUCUUUUAGUAAGGCAAGGCACAAACUGAAGAAGACACUAUAUCAAAGGGAAGAAGCCAGUACUAUAGCAAACUAUAGUAAAAACAAUAAAAAAUGUUUACAUAGGAUUUUAAGAACAAAUAGAGAUGGCAAAAUCCAAAAUUUAUUUUUUAAAUUUUAAAAUUUUUAGAAAAUAAAAGCAGUAAAGAAACGCA